rnacentral:rRNA from 1 species
GAUGAACGCUGGCGGCGUGCUUAACACAUGCAAGUCGAACGAGAAGUGGAGACGGAAACCUUCGGGCGGAAGACUUUAUUUCGAGUGGCGGACGGGUGAGUAACGCGUGGGUAACCUGCCUCAUACAGGGGGAUAACAGUUGGAAACGACUGUUAAUACCGCAUAAGACCACAGCACCGCAUGGUGCGGGGGUAAAAACUCCGGUGGUAUGAGAUGGACCCGCGUUCGAUUAGCCAGUUGGCGGGGUAACGGCCCACCAAAGCGACGAUCGAUAGCCGAUCUGAGAGGAUGACCGGCCACAUUGGGACUGAGACACGGCCCAAACUCCUACGGGAGGCAGCAGUGGGGAAUAUUGCACAAUGGGGGAAACCCUGAUGCAGCGACGCCGCGUGAGUGAGGAAGUAUUUCGGUAUGUAAAGCUCUAUCAGCAGGGAAGAAAAUGACGGUACCUGAGUAAGAAGCCCCGGCUAACUACGUG